rnacentral:rRNA from 1 species
UGGCGGACGGGUGAGUAACGCGUGGGUAACCUGCCUUGUACUGGGGGACAACAGUUAGAAAUGACUGCUAAUACCGCAUAAGCGCACAGGACCGCAUGGUCUAGUGUGAAAAACUCCGGUGGUGUGAGAUGGACCCGCGUUUGAUUAGCUAGUUGGUGGGGUAACGGCCUACCAAGGCGACGAUCAAUAGCCGACCUGAGAGGGUGACCGGCCACAUUGGGACUGAGACACGGCCCAA